rnacentral:rRNA from 1 species
AGUGGGGAAUUUUGGACAAUGGGCGCAAGCCUGAUCCAGCCAUGCCGCGUGCAGGAUGAAGGCCUUCGGGUUGUAAACUGCUUUUGUACGGAACGAAAAGACUCUGGUUAAUACCUGGGGUCCAUGACGGUACCGUAAGAAUAAGCACCGGCUAACUACGUGCCAGCAGCCGCGGUAAUACGUAGGGUGCGAGCGUUAAUCGGAAUUACUGGGCGUAAAGCGUGCGCAGGCGGUUAUAUAAGACAGAUGUGAAAUCCCCGGGCUCAACCUGGGAACUGCAUUUGUGACUGUAUAGCUAGAGUACGGCAGAGGGGGAUGGAAUUCCGCGUGUAGCAGUGAAGUGCGUAGAUAUGCGGAGGAACACCGAUGGCGAAGGCAAUCCCCUGGGCCUGUACUGACGCUCAUGCACGAAAGCGUGGGGAGCAAACAGGAUUAGAUACCCUGGUAGUCCACGCCCUAAACGAUGUCAACUGGUUGUUGGGUCUUCACUGACUCAGUAACGAAGCUAACGCGUGAAGUUGACCGCCUGGGGAGUACGGCCGCAAGGUUG